rnacentral:tmRNA from 1 species
GGGGCUGAUUUUGGUUUCGACUUCGUUGACUUAGCCAGGGGAAGCGUGCCGGUGCAGGCUGGAGACCACCGUGAGCGUCGCAGCAACACAAUAAACGCAGAGAAGAACUCUCAGCGUGACUACGCCCUCGCUGCUUAAGUAGCGCCGCGUGUCUGUCAGACCGAGUGAGCCUCGCAUUCGGACCCUGGCAUCGACUUAAGAGGCUUGCUUGCCUAGCGUGUCAGUGCGUUAGGUAGGGACUUUCUCACUGACUGGGCCCAUCAUCCGGUCGUGUUUGCCCGAACCGGAGGGUCGAUGAGAGAUCGCGCGCAAUCUGCGCACGGAGAAGCCCUGGCACGGUGAUGAAGGACCCGGGUUCAAUUCCCGGCAGCUCCACCA